rnacentral:ncRNA from 2 species
GCUAGCGUGAUGGCAGAUGGUUUCCGCUUCCUCAAAACUGAGGCGGCAGAAUGAAAAGGGAACACGGUGCGGCGCCUCUGGUGCCUAUGCCGCGACUGCCCCCGCAACUGUAAGCGGCGAGCGUCCUUGUAAAUGCCACUGGCCACGGCCCUCGGCCCGGCUGGGAAGGUGCAAGCGACGUCGUGACCCGCAAGUCAGGAGACCUGCCAUCCGUGAAAACUCGAA